GAUGAAGAACGUAGCGAAAUGCGAUAAGUAAUGUGAAUUGCAGAAUUCAGUGAAUCAUCGAAUCUUUGAACGCACAUUGCGCCCCUUGGUGUUCCGGGGGGCAUGCCUGUUCGAGCGUCAUUUCAACCCUCAAGCUCUGCUUGGUAUUGGGCACCGUCCUUUGCGGGCGCGCCUCAAAGACCUCGGCGGUGGCGUCUUGCCUCAAGCGUAGUAGAAUACACCUCGCUUCGGAGCGUAAGGCGUCGCCCGCCGGACGAACCUUCUGAACUUUUCUCAAGGUUGACCUCGGAUCAGGUAGGGAUACCCGCUGAACUUAAGCAUAUCAAUAAGCGGAGGA
rnacentral:misc_RNA from 1 species